GGAAAGGUGACCGAGUGGCCGAAGGUGUAACAUUGGAAAUGUUAUGUAUAGGUAACUAUACCGAGGGUUCGAAUCCCUCUCUUUCCG
rnacentral:tRNA from 1 species